AUCUCCUGGCUCUGGGCUGCUUCCUGAGAUGAAGUGUUAUAUAGUUAGAGAGCUGCUUUGUCACUCAGGCAGCCUCUUCCCUUGGUGUGCCUGUAUCAGAUAAGGAAUUAGGAACCACUUGCUACCAGUGCUGUAGAAUGAGAGCCACAAUUGAAACAAAUGAGGUGAAAGGCUCAAAUCAGAAUGCUGCCGUGACUGAAAUGAAAGCAGAAGAAAUGGAGAUGGGGCUUCUUCCAGAAAACAUAAGAUAUUAGCUAAGUUAAAAGUGAUUCCAGAGCAGUGAACAUUUUACCAUGAAAUCCUUGGGAAACUGGAAGCAACAGCAGCAAAAGAAUGAAGAGACAUCACUACACAACUUUGUGAGCUAUCCUUAGCUCAUGCUGAAGACAGUCUUUCCCAUUUAUGAACUGGCAGGGCUACUGAUAGUGGUAAGCUACUCAUAAAUAGACUUCUUCUGGCUGGAGAGCCAAACAUCUCUCGGAUUCUGAUCAGCACAUGGACAAGAUGUGCUGCGCUUUGUAAUAUCAUAGGAGAAGUUGAAAAGAAUUGGGGUUGGGGAAACAAAACAAAAAGGAGCAGCACCCAACAUUUCAUCUUUUAGAGAUCUGACUUUGAUAUCUGGAUUUGUUUCAGUCUUCCUCUGCUUUGAUGGUAGUACAGACUUACAACUUGAAAGUCCAGAUACAGCUAGGGAAAUAAAAUCUAAUGUACACAUCCAAAAGUUUAGAGAAAAUGAACCAAAUCAGCCAACAGAGGAAGAGAAGGAUGAGAAAAAAGAAGAAUGAGAAGGAGAAAAACACAUCUAAAUAUUUCAAAUGCAUAUAGUUUUAGCUUUUAGAAUGAAUAGAUUAGCAGCAUAAGCUGACCAAUAUGAGGGCCGAAAUUAGGUUGAAUAGAUUUAACUUAUUAUUGCAGUGAAUAACUUCUACCUUGUUAUUUAGAUACCAAGACAAGUAAAAUGUGCAGUACAGUAGAAAUAAAUGAACAAUUGUCUUUGCAGUUGUUUUUAAUUACUAGAAACUGUGAUCUGCUCCCAGAUAUGUGCCAAUGAGAAAUGAAGCAAACACCUUUUGAAUUGAACUAGGGUUUUAAACUCAAAUUCCAAGGUGGAAUUUGAUGUGUUCCUUCCACUAGUCAUUAUUUGUUUUAUGAUAGAAUCUUGCCUCAUUGAGGCUUGACACUCAUACUAUCGAUUGUAUAUUGAGCCAGGUGGGAGAAAAACACAGACAAAAAUAGAAGUCAUAAUCUAGAAGAACCACAGUUAUUUGUGAAAUUGUUUUGAAUUUGGCAAACAGUAUCAGCAGCAAUGCGCUGCCCUGGGGGGAGAAGGAAAAAAAAGGUUUGUGGAUAAUUUAUUUUUAAAAAUGGAAACUGUAUCACUUUACUACCAUUAUUAAAUGAAAGAUUGUACUGCGAAUGCUAAAAAGAUCUCAUUUUGAGAGUUGUAAAAGGAAAUAUGAAUGUUGUUAGUGGUAUUUUUAAAUGAAAAUCAGAUAAAACAAACAUAUUUUUAAAAUGGAAAAGAAGAACUGAUAAAAGCGCAAAUCAAAUGAAUAAUUUUGCUUGGGACCAAAUAUAACAUCUACUGAUUAUGGGUUUUAAGAAAAAGAAAAGAGACAAAGAAGUUUUCUCCUUUCUUAUUUAAUAAUCUACAGAAAAAUCUGUAUGAUUUUUCAAGUCAAUCGUUGAAUAAAUGAUCUGCUCUUUGUU
ensembl:lncRNA